UUAGAAUUUUACUACAGAAUAAAUUCUUCUUCUGCCUUGUGCAAGAGGGAAACAGAAGAAAUAAAAAAGAAAUGGAAAGAUGCAAGAUCCAUUGUAAAGAAGAAAGAAGCCAGUAGAAAAUACCAGACGAAGAGAACGGGCGGAGGGCCUCCCCCGGAAUCUGUAUUCAAGGCAUGGGAACUUGACAUUUUGUCAAUUAUACCGGAUGAACUUAUCUCUGGGAUUGACGGAGGGGUUGAUACUGCCUUUGCCAUUAAUUCUGAAACAAGUAUGUAUAAAUACAUGGUACAUGCAUGUACAUUGUAAACAUACGUUCACUACAUGUAUUUUUAUAACCUCAUAAUGUUGCCUUCCCGACUUUUGCUUCAUAUACUAUUUGAUUUUCCAUGCUUUGUAUAUUUAGUAUUAUUGUAGUAUACAGUAGUUAUAGUAUAAAAAAAAAUUGAAAUAUAUGAUAUCUAAAUACUAGUAUUUCUUUGUAACAGAUAACUUAGCCUCAUCAUGCACUGCAGUCCCAUCGGAAAUUUCCGCUGGAAUUCCAUCCUUGAUUGUAGAAGAAGUUGACGUUCCGGAAGAAGCUCCAAGUGUACAUGUGUCCGGGCCUUCCACCGACACAUUCUUUGCUUCAACUCUGUAUGGAUCUAAACGUAAAGACACGGCCAGCGACCCCGACGCUGAGUUUAUGCUGAAUUUGAUAGGAGUGAAGGAGAGAAGAGCCAUCGCAGAGGAGAGAAAAGCAGAUGCCCUAGAGAGAAUAGCGGCGGCAUUUGAAAACAAAUUUGGC